GGGAGCAAACUGUGGGACUCCAUUGCUACGCAGGCGCUGCGCUCACACUGAUUUAGUAAUUUUUAGGUAAUUCAGGAUGUAACGCUAGUCAGGUGUGUAGUGCUCGCCUGUCAGGCGCUGCACAGUAGCGUCUAGCUGUCGGGCGCUAGACAAAAGUUCCUCCCUUCCCUGCAGGAGAGAGCCGCCCCCGCCGUUCCUCCUCUCGCCGCGGGAGAGAGCCGCCCCCCCCAGAGCCGCCGCGGGAGCCGCCGCGCCCUUCGCCGCGGGAGUUGAGCUUCAGCUUGGCCUCCGCCCCGCUGUUCCUCUUCUGCUUCCCGUCGGCCGCAACUAGGUGGUAACAUAACAUCAAUUGAAGUGGAAAGAUGGGGCUGCGGCAGCGUGCCAGACUGUCUUGGGCUCCCGUCCACUGUCGUAAUCAAAUCACAACCAUUGUUGGGAGAACAUACACACGAUUGGGACAAAAAAACAUGGGGUGCCGACAAAUGGGUGCCUCUCUCAGAAGGGAUCAGGUGGAGGCUCACCGGCUGCAGCGAUGGCCACUAGCGUGAGCUGUGAAGCGCGUGGAGGCGAGAGCCUCAUGGCCUGUUGAUACCGCGCAUAAUUGCAACCCUCCAAUUCAUCGCCUCACCCCGCUCCACUCCAUGCCAGCCCCACAGUCAUGUUAUUGAACAUUGGAGAGAAACUGAGCACCACUUUUCACUUGAAUUAGAAACACCAAAGGUUUGGGAUUAUGCUCGUGACAACUAUGUCCAUCAUGUAUUGUGUCCAAAGCAGAUGGUAUGUGUUCAUAUGUAAUGGUGGUGCAGUAAUGGAUGAAGCUCUAUUGAACAGGACAGUUAAGCUGUAAUCUAUGGAGAGUGUCAAAGGAAAUGAACAAUGCUCUACUUGCCCCUUAUACUGCGGAAGAUGUUCACAAGGCUUUAUUCGAUAUUGGGGACUUGAAAGCUCCAGGGCCAGAUGGACUCCAUGCUAUCUUCUAUAAAAGGUUCUAGCCCAUGCUAGGAGAAGACUUAAUUGAGGAGGUUCUGAAAGCAAUCAACACAUGCACUAUCCCGAAGGGUAGGAAUGAUACGGCGAUUGUGAUGAUUCCUAGAUUAAUACACCAGAGAAGGUAACCCAAUUUAGCCCGAUCAACUUAUGUAAUGUGGUAUACAAAAUAAUUGCAAAAAUGGUGGCUUCUCAAUUGAAGGCAUUUUUACCAGAAAUUAUUAGUCCAACAUAGAGUGCAUUUGUACCGGGUAGAUUGAUAACGGAUAAUAUUUUAGUGGCCUACGAAUGUUUUCACACAACCAAGAACAAAAGAGAGGGUAGAGAGGGCUUGUGUGCUAUAAAACUUGAUAUGCACAAAGCUUAUGAUAGAGUUAAGUGGCCUUUUUUGAAGGAGAUUAUGUUGAAAUUCG